UACAGAGGGGGCAAGCGUUAUUCGGAAUUAUUGGGCGUAAAGCGCACGUAGGCGGAUUGGUCAGUUAGGGGUGAAAUCCUGGAGCUCAACUCCAGAACUGCCUUUAAUACUGCCAGUCUAGAGUCCGGAAGAGGUAAGUGGAACUCCUAGUGUAGAGGUGGAAUUCGUAGAUAUUAGGAAGAACACCAGUGGCGAAGGCGGCUUACUGGUCCGGUACUGACGCUGAGGUGCGAAAGCGUGGGGAGCAAACAGG
rnacentral:rRNA from 1 species